UACAGAGGGUGCAAGCGUUGUUCGGAAUUACUGGGCGUAAAGCGCGUGUAGGCUGCAAUGUAAGUCGGAUGUGAAAGCCCUUGGCUUAACCAAGGAAGUGCAUCCGAUACUGCAUCGCUAGAGUAUGGUAGGGGCAGAGGGAAUUCCUGGUGUAGCGGUGAAAUGCGUAGAGAUCAGGAGGAACACCAAUUGCGAAGGCAGCUCGCUGGGACGUAACUGACGCUGAGACGCGAAAGCGUGGGGAGCAAACAGG
rnacentral:rRNA from 1 species